rnacentral:rRNA from 1 species
CGAAACCAGGUGAUCUACCCAUGUCCAGGAUGAAGGUAAGGUAAUACUUACUGGAGGUCCGAACCCACGCACGUUGAAAAGUGCGGGGAUGAGGUGUGGGUAGCGGAGAAAUUCCAAUCGAACUUGGAGAUAGCUGGUUCUCUCCGAAAUAGCUUUAGGGCUAGCCUCGAGGUAAAGAGUCAUGGAGGUAGAGCACUGUUUGGACUAGGGGCCCUUCUCGGGUUACCGAAUUCAGAUAAACUCCGAAUGCCAUGUACUUAUACUCGGGAGUCAGACUGCGAGUGAUAAGAUCCGUAGUCGAAAGGGAAACAGCCCAGACCACCAGUUAAGGUCCCCAAAUAUAUGUUAAGUGGAAAAGGAUGUGGGGUUGCUUAGACAACCAGGAUGUUGGCUUAGAAGCAGCCACCAUUGAAAGAGUGCGUAAUAGCUCACUGGUCGAGUGACCCCGCGCCGAAAAUGUACCGGGGCUAAACAUAUUACCGAAACUGUGGAUGAACCUCUUUAGAGGUUCGUGGUAGGAGAGCGUUCUAAGGGCGGUGAAGUCAGACCGGAAGGACUGGUGGAGCGCUUAGAAGUGAGAAUGCCGGUAUGAGUAGCGAAAGAAGGGUGAGAAUCCCUUCCACCGAAUAUCUAAGGUUUCCUGAGGAAGGCUCGUCCGCUCAGGGUUAGUCGGGACCUAAGCCGAGGCCGAUAGGCGUAGGCGAUGGACAACAGGUAGAGAUUCCUGUACCAGUGCUAAUUGUUUAACC